AUUGAACGCUGGCGGCAGGCCUAACACAUGCAAGUCGAGCGAGCGGCGGGCGGGUGAGAUAUGUCUGGGACUUGCGCAGGCGGGGGGGAUCACCGUUGGAAACGACUUCUAAUCGCGCAUACGCUUGUGUUGCACAGGUGGGAUUAGCUAGUGGGUGGGGUAAUGGCUCACCGAGGCGACGAUCCCUAGCUGGUCUGAGAGGAUGAUCAGCCACACUGGAACUGAGACACGGUCCAGACUCCUACGGGAGGCAGCAGUGGGGAAUAUUGCACAAUGGGGGAAAGCCUGAUGCAGCCAUGCCGCGUGUGUGAAGAAGGCCUUCGGGUUGUAAAUCACUUUCAGCGAGGAGGCGUUACUCGCAGAAGAAGCACCGGCUAACUCCGUGCCAGCAGCCGCGGUAAUAC
rnacentral:rRNA from 1 species